UACAGAGGCCACGAGCGUUAGGCGGAAUCACUGGGCUUAAAGCGUGUGUAGGUGGAUCGGUAAGUACCUUGUGAAAUCCCACGACUCAAUCGUGGAACUGCUUGGUAUACUGCCAGUCUUGAGGCACUCAGGGGCGAGCGGAACAGAUGGUGGAGCGGUGAAAUGCGUAGAUAUCAUCUGGAACGCCAAUGGUGAAGACAGCUCGCUGGGGGUGUUCUGACACUGAGACACGAAAGCGUGGGGAGCGAACAGG
rnacentral:rRNA from 1 species